AUUGAACGCUGGCGGCAUGCCUUACACAUGCAAGUCGAACGGUAACGGGCCUUCGGGUGCCGACGAGUGGCGAACGGGUGAGUAAUACACCGGAACGUGCCCGAUCGUGGGGGAUAACGAGGCGAAAGCUUUGCUAAUACCGCAUACGAUCUACGGAUGAAAGCAGGGGACCGCAAGGCCUUGCGCGGACGGAGCGGCCGAUGGCAGAUUAGGUAGUUGGUGGGAUAAAAGCUUACCAAGCCGACGAUCUGUAGCUGGUCUGAGAGGAUGAUCAGCCACACUGGGACUGAGACACGGCCCAGACUCCUACGGGAGGCAGCAGUGGGGAAUUUUGGACAAUGGGCGCAAGCCUGAUCCAGCCAUGCCGCGUGCAGGAUGAAGGCCUUCGGGUUGUAAACUGCUUUUGUACGGAACGAAAAGCCUUCUUUUAAUACAGGAGGGUCAUGACGGUACCGUAAGAAUAAGCACCGGCUAACUACGUG
rnacentral:rRNA from 1 species